CACCACUCACGAUCCCCGACCCACCCGCCGCCCCCGCAGGAAACCCCCAAUCCACCUACCACCGGGGACCACCCUACCAUCGCCGCCCUUGACCACAGGUGCCGCCGCCCCCGACUCGAGGCGCCGCUGCCCCGCCAACCCCGGGCGCCGCCACCUCUGGAAACCCCCAUUCGGAAAUCACCGCCUCCUACCGUGACGCUGCUGCCGGCCUCCUCCCGCAGCGCCGCUGCCAGGCCCUCCUGCCGCAGCGCCGCCACCUGCAGGACCGGAUCCUCGUCACCACGCGCCCGGAUCCCGGUCAGGGCCGAGUGUUGCCACUGUCAGGCGUCGUCUUCGCCAAACCGCCUAAUCAUCUUGAACUUCCUCCGGAUCCGGCCUCGAACUUCUACCAGCAGAGUGCCGCACCGACUAUGGAUGAUGAGCUCCCGGAUCCCGCCGUUGUAGCUGUCCCAACCCCACUGCAGGGCACGAACGUCGUUCCUCAAGACAGCUUCGACUUCCUCUUGAUGCUCCUCCAGAAGGUGACGCUGUGGCAACACACAUUGAUUUCUCACCUGUCAAAAGAAAAGAACAAGCAAGCACGGGAAGAAGGUAGGAAAAUGUAAUUCCGAGCUUCAGGAAAAAAACAACAGUUAUUGAGUGCGGCACA